CCCUAUGGGGUGCACCAGGUGACAUAAUAACGGUCUUCAAGGAAGAGUACGCGCGGGUCGUAGCGGUGUUCAAAAUGGGCCAGCUCAGGGUCCGGGCAGUCCCAGUGGAUUGGGUCGUUUUCGAGGGACCAGUGGAUGCCAUCGGGGCUGAAGCCGGCAUGCAGGUUCAUUUCCCGCUUUUUGUUGUCGCAGCGGAAGACGCCGGCAAAAGCGCCUUCAAAGGGGACCACCGCGCUGUUGAAGAUGCUGUUGGAGGAGGGGAUGAGGUCGCGGGGGAUGAUGGGGUUGGCGCUGUAACGCCAAACGACUUCGUGUGAAUGGGCGGGGGAGC
rnacentral:rRNA from 1 species